UACGUAGGGUGCAAGCGUUGUCCGGAAUUAUUGGGCGUAAAGAGCUCGUAGGCGGUCUGUCGCGUCGGAUGUGAAAAUCCAGGGCUCAACCCUGGACCUGCAUUCGAUACGGGCAGACUAGAGUUCGGUAGGGGAGACUGGAAUUCCUGGUGUAGCGGUGAAAUGCGCAGAUAUCAGGAGGAACACCGGUGGCGAAGGCGGGUCUCUGGGCCGUAACUGACGCUGAGGAGCGAAAGCAUGGGGAGCGAACAGG
rnacentral:rRNA from 1 species